rnacentral:rRNA from 1 species
UACGGGGGGGGCAAGCGUUGUUCGGAAUUACUGGGCGUAAAGGGCGCGUAGGCGGGCUGUCAAGUCUGGGGUGAAAUCCCGCGGCUCAACCGUGGAACUGCCUCAGAUACUGACGGUCUCGAGGGAGGUAGGGGCGAGCGGAACUGAUGGUGGAGCGGUGAAAUGCGUUGAUAUCAUCAGGAACUCCGGUGGCGAAGGCGGCUCGCUGGACCUCUUCUGACGCUGAGGCGCGAAAGCCAGGGGAGCAAACGGGG